CGCGGGGUGGAGCAGCCUGGUAGCUCGUCGGGCUCAUAACCCGAAGGUCGUCGGUUCAAACUGGUUCUCGCAA
rnacentral:tRNA from 1 species